GGAUAACCUACCCUUUAGGACUGGGAUAACCCUGGGAAACUGGGGAUAAUACUAGAUAGGCAAUUUUUCCUGGAAUGGUUUUUUGUUUAAAUGUUUUUUCGCCUAAGGAUGGGUCUGCGGCCGAUUAGGUAGUUGGUUAGGUAACGGCUUACCAAGCCAUUGAUCGGUACGGGUUGUGAGAGCAAGAGCCCGGAGAUGGAACCUGAGACAAGGUUCCAGGCCCUACGGGGUGCAGCAGGCGCGAAACCUCCGCAAUGUGAGAAAUCGCGACGGGGGGAUCCCAAGUGCCAUUCUUAACGGGAUGGCUUUUCAUUAGUGUAAAGAGCUUUUGGAAUAAGGGCUGGGCAAGACCGGUGCCAGCCGCCGCGGUAACACCGGCAGCUCUAGUGGUAGCAGUUUUUAUUGGGCCUAAAGCGUCCGUAGCCGGUUUAAUAAGUCUCUGGUGAAAUCCUGUAGCUUAACUGUGGGAAUUGCUGGAGAUACUAUUAGACUUGAGACCGAGAGAGGUUAGAGGUACUCCCAGGGUAGAGGUGAAAUUCUGUAAUCCUGGGAGGACCGCCUGUUGCGAAGGCGUCUAACUGGAACGGUUCUGACGGUGAGGGACGAAAGUUAGGGGCGCGAACCGGAUUAGAUACCCGGGUAGUCCUAACUGUAAACGAUGCGGACUUGGUGUUGGGGUGGCUUUGAGCUGCUCCAGUGCCGAAGGGAAGCUGUUAGGUCCGCCGCCUGGGAAGUACGGUCGCAAGACUGAAACUUAA
rnacentral:rRNA from 1 species